UGGGGAAUUUUCCGCAAUGGGCGAAAGCCUGACGGAGCAAUACCGCGUGAGGGAAGACUGCCUAUGGGUUGUAAACCUCUUUUCUCAGGGAGGAAAUCAAUGACGUUACCUGAGGAAUAAGCAUCGGCUAACUCCGUGCCAGCAGCCGCGGUAAGACGGAGGAUGCAAGUGUUAUCCGGAAUCACUGGGCGUAAAGCGUCUGUAGGUGGCUUAACAAGUCAACUGUUAAAUCUUGAAGCUCAACUUCGAAAUCGCAGUCGAAACUGUUAGGCUAGAGUAUAGUAGGGGUAAAGGGAAUUUCCAGUGGAGCGGUGAAAUGCGUAGAGAUUGGAAAGAACACCGAUGGCGAA
rnacentral:rRNA from 1 species